UGGCUCUGGCAUCGAUGAAGAACGCAGCGAAAUGCGAUAAGUAGUGUGAAUUGCAGAAUUCAGUGAAUCAUCGAAUCUUUGAACGCACAUUGCGCCCCUUGGUAUUCCAUGGGGCAUGCCUGUUCGAGCGUCAUCUACACCCUCAAGCUCAGCUUGGUGUUGGGCGUCUGUCCCGCCUCGGCGCGCGGACUCGCCCCAAAGGCAUUGGCAGCGGUCCUUUGCACCUCUCGCGCAGCACAUUGCGCUUCUCGAGGUGACGCGGGUCGCGACCACAAAGUCAACACAGUCUUUGACCUCGGAUCAGGUAGGGAUACCCGCUGA
rnacentral:misc_RNA from 1 species